rnacentral:rRNA from 1 species
AUGCACGCUGGCGGCGUGCCUCAUACCUGCCAGUCGAGCGAACAGACGAGGAGCUUGCUCCUCUGACGUUAGCGGCGGACGGGUGAGUAACACGUGGAUAACCUACCUAUAAGACUGGGAUAACUUCGGGAAACCGGAGCUAAUACCGGAUAAUAUAUUGAACCGCAUGGUUCAAUAGUGAAAGACGGUUUUGCUGUCACUUAUAGAUGGAUCCGCGCCGCAUUAGCUAGUUGGUAAGGUAACGGCUUACCAAGGCAACGAUGCGUAGCCGACCUGAGAGGGUGAUCGGCCACACUGGAACUGAGACACGGUCCAGACUCCUACGGGAGGCAGCAGUAGGGAAUCUUCCGCAAUGGGUGAAAGCCUGACGGAGCAACGCCGCGUGAGUGAUGAAGGUCUUCGGAUCGUAAAACUCUGUUAUUAGGGAAGAACAAAUGUGUAAGUAACUAUGCACGUCUUGACGGUACCUAAUCAGAAAGCCACGGCUAACUACGUG